rnacentral:ncRNA from 1 species
GGUUAAACAAAAAAGAGCGUAGGGCGGAUGCCUUGGCACUAAGAGCCGAUGAAGGACGUGAUAAGCUGCGAUAAGCUGCGGGGAAGAGCAAAUAUCUAUUGAUCCGCAGAUUUCCGAAUGGGGAAACCUACUGCAGAAGAGCUGCAGUGACUGUGCGUGAAUCCAUAGCGUACAGCCGGGAACCCGCUGAACUGAAACAUCUAAGUAGGCGGAGGAAGAGAAAACAACAGUGAUUCCGUAAGUAGCGGCGAGCGAACGCGGAAGAGCCCAAACCGCAGUGCGUGCACUGCGGGGUUCGGACUGCACACGGGAAUUGAAUCGUUACCGGAAAGACUUUGGAACAGUCUGCCAGAGAGGGUGAAAGCCCCGUACGGGAAAACGAGUUAAGACCCAGCAGGAUCCAGAGUACCACGAGACACGUGAAACCUUGUGGGAAGGCGGGGGGACCACCCCCUAAGGCUAAAUACUACUUAGUGACCGAUAGUGCAUAGUACUGUGAAGGAAAGGUGAAAAGGACCCCGGGAGGGGAGUGAAAAAGAACCUGAAACCCUAUGUUUACAUGCAGUGGAAGUGCGAUACAUGAACGCACAACCGCGUACUUUUUGUAGAACGGUCCGGCGAGUUGCCGGUGCUGGCAAGGUUAAGGACUACAGGUCCGGAGCCGAAGGGAAACCGAGUCUUAAUAGGGCUUACAGUCAGCAUCGGCAGACCCGAAACCGGGUGAUCUAUCCAUGUCCAGGUUGAAGUCCCCGUAAAAGGGGAUGGAGGACCGAACACACAUCCGUUGAAAAGGGUGGUGAUGAGGUGUGGAUAGGGGAGAAAUUCCAAUCGAACCCGGAGAUAGCUGGUUCUCCUCGAAAUAGCUUUAGGGCUAGCCUCGACUUAGUCAGACGGAGGUAGAGCACUGAAUUCCUGAGGGGGCGUCAAAGCCUGCCAAGGGAUAUCAAACUGCGAAUGCCGUCCUGAUGAUGGUCGGGAGUCAGACUGCACGAGAUAAGUUGGGCAGUCAAAAGGGAAAGAGCCCAGACCUACAGCUAAGGUCCCAAAAUACGUGUUAAGUGGAAAAGGAUGUGGGAUUUCGAAGACAGCUAGGAUGUUGGCUUAGAAGCAGCCACACAUUCAAAGAGUGCGUAAUAGCUCACUAGUCGAGAGGUCCUGCGCCGAAAAUUUCCGGGGCUAAAACACGAUACCGAAGCUUAGGAAUGUAGUAAUACAUUGGUAGAGGAGCAAUCUCAGAGUGCCGAAGCGCUACCGCAAGGAAGCGUGGAGUUCUGAGAAGAGAGAAUGCCGGAAUGAGUAGCGAGAAUGAUGUGAGAAUCAUCAUGGCCGAAUAUCCAAGGAUUCCAGGGUAAAGCUGAUCUGCCCUGGGUAAGUCGGGACCUAAGGCGAGGGAGAGAUCCGUAGUCGAUGGACAGCAGGUUCAUAUUCCUGCACCUGACAUGAUCAGAACUGUGGGGACACAGGAACAAAACCGGACCCGGGAGAGCAAAGACCGGGCGAAGCGAAG